rnacentral:rRNA from 1 species
GACAGAGGUCUCAAGCGUUAGGCGGAAUCACUGGGCUUAAAGCGUGUGUAGGCGGAUCGUUAAGUGCUUUGUGAAAUCCCACAGCUCAACUGUGGAACUGCUUGGCAUACUGGCGGUCUUGAGCCAUCUAGGGGUCGCUGGAACAAACGGUGGAGCGGUGAAAUGCGUAGAGAUCGGCAGGAACACCCAGGGGGAAACCAGUGGACUGGCACGGUGCUGACGCUCAGGUGCGAAAGCGUGGGGAGCGAACCGG